ACCUGUGGGUGUACACAACUAAACUUAUUUCUCAGUCAACUAACAUAAUAAACCUUUUGAUAUGAAACAAUACAAGUAAAAAAUAUUCCGAACAACAAAUCAGCUCACAAAUCGUGUAGUGGGUGAGAUGACAAUUCGUAAGUGUAUCAACUCGGUAAGUUUAUCAACUCAGGUCACUUCAUAAAUCGGGAUAAAUUAUACCAUUCCAGUGCAAUUCUUUAAGUUUGAUUUAUCAGUGUUUCCGCAUAUUUGCGACCUCUUUCUAUAAUCCAGAAUUUAAUUUUCUUUUUAAACUGCUUGUAAUUCUUAAUUUUUGUCAGAUCUUCAGGAAUCUUCUUAUAUAUGCGCGGUGCGAGAUAAUAAAAGUAUCUUUGUCCUAUUCUUUUCUUUGCUCUUGAUGUCUGGAGACCUCUAAGUUUUUUAACUACAUGACUAAUGUGAUGGUCCCAUUUCAAGUUGACAUCAAUUACUAUCCCGAGAUAUUUAAUGAAUUUUGUCUCCGGAAUCUUCAUUUCUGGAUUUAUUUCAAGAUGCCCUAUUGGACCCAAGGAAUAUGACGAAAAGGGCAUGUAUUUUGUUUUGUCAAGGUUUAAGAUCGUCCCAUGU